GCCAUGCAUAUAGACAGCCAAGUCAUUAUGAAUCUCGCAUUCUCGAAGACACGCACUGACGACAUCACGCACGUACGCACGCCCUGGCUGCUAGGAGACGCUAUUCCCUUUACCAGGCCCUCAUGCGCGCCAGCCAGCCAGGCCAAGGCCAGGGGAGCUCGAGACCGGCAACCUGGGCGAAGAACCGGAAGGAGGAAAAGGUGAUGAGAAACAUCCACACUCUUAAUGUCUUGCCUCCUUCUCCCGCAUUGACUUCAUAACCAAGUUCUGGGUCCCUGCCUCUGGAGUACCUGAUGAGACAAAACUGCUCCUCGUCCUGCAUCCCCGCUGCUACUUCCAGAACUCGGGGCUCGUGGUCUGGAGCCUGCACUGUUCCAUGAGCCUCCUGACCAACCUGGAAGGCUCUGUCUUUCCUCCCUCAGUGAGAUGCACUUACUUCUUCCUGGAGAAGCCCGAGGAAGCAGGAAUGCUGGAGAUGAGCUGCCCCUCACUCUCACUCCUGGGUGUGCUGGGCAGUGGGGUGCAAUGCGCACGUGGGUGCACACUCUCCCUGGGCAGCAUCGAGCAGCAGAGUUCUGAUCUGUGGUCGGAUGAGGAGAGGAAGUCCAAGUAAAGCAGCUGCAGCGGUGAGUGGGCCUAGGAAGAAUGGCAUCACCAGGCCAGGUAGGGAUGCGGGUGGUGGUCAGCUAUCCCUGAGAAAGGGACCAGAAUGCACCUGAGUCUUGAUUUUCAUUCCCAAUAGCAGGUCAGCACCAGACCCGAAAACGCUCUGAUUUCUGCCCUCCACGCCACACUCUCUUCACCUGCUGCCUCCUCACUCCUCCCGUUAACAAUGUCCUGGCAGGAACAAGACUUUCCCCUCCCUCUCUGCUUGUCUCUUAGCAGGUCAGGUCAGCCUUCACCUCCCCAGGCCCGUCCUGCUCCUGCCUUCCCCUGUGCGGCCCUCCGUGGAUGCUCUGGAGCCCCAGGCAAUAAUCAGCCAACUGUGGGCAUGGGGGGCCUUCUCGGGUUCUUUGCUGUGCUGCCAUGAAACCGCUCUGCCUGGCUGCACCCCACUAGCUCACACUCAACUGACCCCAACUCCUGGGGCCGGGGGUGUGUCUCCUCAAGGUCUGCUUUCUUCUUCAGGCCUUGCUUGCAUGCCCGUUGUGCCACACGUUGUGUCUCUUUUAGGAAAUCCUUGUCUUUUCCAAAGAUCCUGCUUUGCAGCUGACCGUACCCGCUGCCUGUCUCUGCCAGGAUACUGCCUUCUUCCUGAAACUACAGCCCCACUCAGGUCUUCCUUCCAUCCUAAUCCCUGGGGAGCCCCCUGCAGAGCUCCCUGUCCAUCCCAGUGGCCUUCUGAGCCUUGC